AUUGAACGCUGGCGGCAGGCCUAACACAUGCAAGUCGAGCGGUUGACGGGAGCUUGCUCCCUGAUUCAGCGGCGGACGGGUGAGUAAUGCCUAGGAAUCUGCCUAUUAGUGGGGGACAACGUUUCGAAAGGAACGCUAAUACCGCAUACGUCCUACGGGAGAAAGCAGGGGACCUUCGGGCCUUGCGCUAAUAGAUGAGCCUAGGUCGGAUUAGCUUGUUGGUGAGGUAAUGGCUCACCAAGGCGACGAUCCGUAACUGGUCUGAGAGGAUGAUCAGUCACACUGGAACUGAGACACGGUCCAGACUCCUACGGGAGGCAGCAGUGGUGAAUAUUGGACAAUGGGCGAAAGCCUGAUCCAGCCAUGCCGCGUGUGUGAAGAAGGUCUUCGGAUUGUAAAGCACUUUAAGUUGGGAGGAAGGGUUGUAGAUUAAUACUCUGCAAUUUUGACGUUACCGACAGAAUAAGCACCGGCUAACUCUGUGCCAGCCGCCGCUGUAAGAC
rnacentral:rRNA from 1 species